AGAACGAACGCUGGCGGCAGGCUUAACACAUGCAAGUCGAGCGCCCCGCAAGGGGGAGCGGCAGACGGGUGAGUAACGCGUGGGAAUCUACCCAUCUCUACGGAACAACUCCGGGAAACUGGAGCUAAAUACCGUAUACGUCCUUCGGAGAAAGAUUUAUCGGAGAUGGAUGAGCCCGCGUUGGAUUAGCUAGUUGGUGGGGUAAUGGCCUACCAAGGCGACGAUCCAUAGCUGGUCUGAGAGGAUGAUCAGCCACACUGGGACUGAGACACGGCCCAGACUCCUACGGGAGGCAGCAGUGGGGAAUAUUGGACAAUGGGCGAGAGCCUGAUCCAGCCAUGCCGCGUGAGUGAUGGAACGGCCGUAGGUUAGUAAAGCUUCUUUCAACCGGUGAAAGAUAAGUAGACGGUAAACCGGAGAAGAACGCCCCGGAUAAACGUUCGU
rnacentral:rRNA from 1 species